UAAGGAAUAUUGGGCAAUGGUCGGAAGACUGACCCAGCCAUGCCGCGUGCAGGAAGACGGCCCUAUGGGUUGUAAACUGCUUUUGUCGGGGAAUAAACCUGCCCACGUGUGGGCAGCUGAAGGUACCCGGCGAAUAAGCAUCGGCUAACUCCGUGCCAGCAGCCGCGGUAAUACGGAGGAUGCAAGCGUUAUCCGGAUUCACUGGGUUUAAAGGGUGCGCAGGCGGGAUGAUAAGUCAGAGGUGAAAUCCUACGGCUCAACUGUAGAACUGCCUUUGAUACUGUCGUUCUUGAGUAAGGUUGGAGUGGGCGGAAUGUGUUGUGUAGCGGUGAAAUGCUUAGAUAUAACACAGAACACCGAUCGCGAAGGCAGCUCACUAAGCGUUAACUGACGCUCAUGCACGAAAGCGUGGGGAUCAAACA
rnacentral:rRNA from 1 species